rnacentral:misc_RNA from 1 species
UGGUUCUCGCAUCGAUGAAGAACGCAGCGAAAUGCGAUAAGUAAUGUGAAUUGCAGAAUUCAGUGAAUCAUCGAAUCUUUGAACGCACCUUGCGCUCCUUGGUAUUCCGAGGAGCAUGCCUGUUCGAGUGUCAUGAAACUCUCAAACCGUCAUCUUUUAUCGGAUGUUCGGGCUUGGAUUUGGAUGUUGCUGGGUCUUAACGACUCGGCUCGUCUUAAAAGCAUUAGCUGUCUCUCACGACUUCAGUUAACGGUGUGAUAAUUACAUCUACGCCGAAGCCUUCGGGCGCUGAGUCGGGUUAAAGCGGCUUCUAACCGUCUUCGGACAAUUUCAUUUCACAUCUGGCCUCGAAUCAGGUAGGACUACCCGCUGA